GCUCUGGUUGAUGGGUGGGGCAGUGUGUAAAGCUAGUUGGAAGGUUGUACUUGGCAGAUACGCUGUUAGCUACUAAAUACAUCAAGUCUUGAACAUGCCCAGGGUGUUCCUUUGGACUGUUUCUGGAAGAUUGUAUCUGGAGCAGACAUGCAUGUCGGGGUUUCCAUUGCUGUGAAGAGACACCAUGACCAAGGCAACUCUUAUAAACGACAGGAUUUAAUUGUGGCUGGAUUACUGGAUCUGAGGUUUAGUUCAUUAUCAUCAUGGCGGGAAGAAUGGCAGCAUCCAGGAGGUGUGGCAAACAGAAGGCAAACAGAAGACUGACUUCCAGGGAAGCUGACAUGAAGACUUUAGCAUAUUGCUGUGAACAAUGUCAGCUAUGCCGUGAUGGAGGACGGAUUUCCCCGUGGGGCAGUGAAGCUGCCUGCAUAGCUUGAGUGGCUGGCACAGAUCCCACAGUUCCUUGAUGUUCUGUGGUCAGUUUGCUGGUCCUCUUCUGCUGGCUUGCCAAGGCAACUGCUCUGCGAUGCUCACUCAUCCAAACACCGCUGUGUAGCAUGUUGUGUUUGCUACCCCAUUUUAAGCUCUGGGAACAGGCCUCACUACCAGCCCCCAUCCAGAUGCUCUUGGAUCCACGGAUAAAAAUAACACUCAAGUGUACACACACACACACACACACACACAGUCAGUUAAUCUUAAAUGACUGGGCACUCCUUGACUUCCCCUGCAACCCCAGGCAUAAUCAGAGUGGCCACUGGCCUAUCUAAUGGAAAACUCAUAUGGCUUUUUGGCUUUUUCUCCUGAAGCUACUAUCUCCUCCUCCUUCCCCAGUUCUCUUUGGGCUGCUAGCUUGGCUGGGGGACCCAGACGUCCCACCUAUUUUGCCUAGCUUAUUGGCUGGUAGCAUAUUUAGUGAUGGAUCAAGAACCAAUUGGGGAACAGGACCUUAGCAUCAGAACCACCGCUACACCCCUGUCAGCAGCUGCUCAGUCUUUCAGGUUAGACCCAAGCUAUCGGCAUGCAGGUCCAUAAUAUCUUCCAUUGACCUGAGACCUUCAUUUGAUUCCAGAGUCUCUUGAUUAAAGUUGCCCUGCCAUUUAUUAUCCGAACUAAGACACUUCUGAGAAUAAGGGAGGCAUGUUCAUAAUUACAGUGAGUUUGUCAGGCUCAUCAAGGUCCGUUCCCUGCAGAUUCCGACAUGCAGGCAGGUCUUCCUGGGUCAGCUUUAUCUUUUGCUUUUUUUUUUUUUUAAAGAAAAUUCAUGUCUGAAAUUUUAUACCUGCAUAACGUGUUUUGAUUAAAUUACCCCUGUUCUCUCACCAUACCACUCUCUUCACACACUUAUAUGCUCUAGCUCUGGUUUGCCCUUCCUUUGUAUUUCUAUUCUAGUCAGGUUCUCAAUAGACUGGAUCAUGCUCAUAUACACUGGACAGAAGAAGGUGAUAACGCCAUGCUGAUUGUGGUGGGCCUCUUCCAUAUAUGACUGCAUUGGAGUAUCCUGUUUUGGUGGGCCAUUGAUGGAUAACGAAUUGACAGAUGAAGGGUCAUUUUGUAUGGAAUCCUCUCUAUUGGAUGUGAUACAUGACAAUGAGGUGGAUUUCAUCAGAGACAUUUGAAUAUUCAUGGAUGGAAACAAAUUUGGAAGAGAAGAAAGCUAAACUCUCACAAGAAUUUAAGCAAAUGCUUAAAAUAAAAGCAAAACCAACCAACCAAUCAACCAAAGAAAAACAAUUAAAAAAAAACCUAUUUCAGAGACAGCGAGUUGAUUCAACCAGUAAAGGUGUUUGCUGCCAAGCCUAACAACCUGGAUUUGAUUCUAGACACACACACACACACACACACACACAC